AUUGAACGCUGGCGGCAGGCCUAACACAUGCAAGUCGAGCGAGAGGGGGACGGGUGAGUAAUGUAUGGGGACUGCCCGAUAGAGGGGGAUAACUAAUGGAAACGGUGGCUAAUACCGCAUACUAUCGGAUAACCCAUAUGGGAUUAGCUAGUGGGUGGGGUAAAGCCUUACGUAGGCGACGAUCUCUAGCUGGUCUGAGAGGAUGAACAGCCACAAUGAGACUGAGAAACGGCCCAGACUCUUACGGAGGCAGCGGUGGGGAAUAUUGCACAAUGGGCGCAAGCCUGAUGCAGCCAUGCCGCGUGUAUGAAGAAGGACUUCGGGUUGUAAAGUACUUUCAGCUGUGAGUCGUUACCCUCAGAAGAAGCACCGGCUAACUCCGUGCCAGCAGCCGCGGUAAUAC
rnacentral:rRNA from 1 species